GUUAUAUGGUCAAGUGAAGAAGCGCAUACGGUGGAUGCCUUGGCAGUCAGAGGCGAUGAAAGAGUGGUAGCCUGCGAAAAGCUUCGGGGAGUCGGCAAACAGACUUUGAUCC
rnacentral:rRNA from 1 species